UACGGGGGGGGCAAGCGUUGUUCGGAAUUACUGGGCGUAAAGGGCUCGUAGGCGGCCAACUAAGUCGGACGUGAAAUCCCCAGGCUCAACCUGGGAACUGCGUCCGAUACUGGAUGGCUUGAAUUCGGGAGAGGGAUGCAGAAUUCCUGGUGUAGCGGUGAAAUGCGCAGAUAUCAGGAAGAACACCCGUGGCGAAAGCGGCUCUCUGGAACGGUACUGACGCUGAGACGCGAAAGCGUGGGGAGCGAACAGG
rnacentral:rRNA from 1 species